ACGUUUACAUUUCAGCCCGCCGUCGCACUCGCAGAAACCCACCGUGCAUCUUACAUCUGACAUCCAUCCAUCCAAUCGCCCUCGCCCUCGCCGCUGCGGAUGCAUUCCCUCCAUCCUAAUCGCAGAUCACUUGGCAUUUGGGGUUUGGUAUGUUCGACAUGUCGUGGUUCGGCGCAUUCUUAAUCGGGGCCGCUUGUUUUGCUCUGGGGUGUCUAAUUGGGGCGCUUAAUGCCUCCCGUGGCGCGUCUAGUCCCUCCAAACAUGCCGAAACCAUUGUUAACGAGGGCAGGAAGAAGAAAACUCCUGGAAAACCACCGCUCGAGGUUGAAAAACUAGCUGAACUCAUUGAAGAUUUUAAAAUGGUUUUAGUCGUCAGGAAUGAUCUUAAAAUGGGCAAAGGCAAGAUUGCUGCCCAAUGCAGCCAUGCAACUUUGGGGCUGUACAAGAAAAUCUUAAGCCGGGCACCAAAAUCUUUAAGCAGGUGGGAGAUGUGUGGGCAGGUUAAGGUGGUUUUGAAAAUUGAAAGGGAAGAUGAUAUGCUUGUUCUACAGGAAAGGGCAAAGUCACUCAAUUUACCAACUCACAUUACGAUUGAUGCUGGGAGGACACAAAUUGCGCCAAAUUCAAGGACAGUGAUGGCAUUACUUGGACCCGCUGACCUAGUGGAUGAGGUAACUGGUGGAUUGAAGCUCUUGUAGAGGGCAUGUCAAGAGCUGCUCAGCGUGAGAAGGGAUGGGGAUAAGUGCAAGUGAUGGCGACUAUUCUUUAUUAUUAACGACAUUGGUAUAGGAAUUAGCAAAGAUGGGUUUGGAAUGGGCAUGUGAAUUAUUAUCUGUUUUGUUGGCUACAGAGCAGAGCUCCUUGCAAUCCAGCAUGUCGGUGCAUGUGCCCUUUUGGUUGAACUGAUGGUGAUGUAUGGGUGUGUUGAGCAUCUGACUGUCUUCUUGUUUGGUUCCAGUCCAAUCGCUGACAAACAAUGUGUCCUCCUUCCAUCCUUCCGAUCUGCCAGCCUGAAUAACACGCACGCUUGUCAUAGGAGAGGAGAGGAGGGAGUGGUGUAAAAUAGACAGCAGCAGCAGCAGCGGUGGUGGUCAGGAGUAUUAGUUAAUGGCAGGAGAAUCAAGGCCGUUCAGCAUUGGCAGGAGUUGCUGCUUCUUGUGCAUUGUUGUUAU